CCUACGGGAGGCAGCAGUGAGGAAUAUUGGUCAAUGGACGAGAGUCUGAACCAGCCAAGUAGCGUGAAGGAUGACUGCUCUAUGGGUUGUAAACUUCUUUUAUAUGGGAAUAAAAUGUUCCACGUGUGGGAUUUUGUAUGUAUCAUAUGAAUAAGGAUCGGCUAACUCCGUGCCAGCAGCCGCGGUAAUACGGAGGAUCCGAGCGUUAUCCGGAUUUAUUGGGUUUAAAGGGAGCGUAGGUGGAUUGUUAAGUCAGUUGUGAAAGUUUGCGGCUCAACCGUAAAAUUGCAGUUGAAACUGGCAGUCUUGAGUACAGUAGAGGUGGGCGGAAUUCGUGGUGUAGCGGUGAAAUGCUUAGAUAUCACGAAGAACUCCGAUUGCGAAGGCAGCUCACUGGACUGCAACUGACACUGAGGUUCGAAAGCGUGGGUAGCAAACAGGAUUAGAUACCCUAGUAGUC
rnacentral:rRNA from 1 species